GGCAAAGUCGCUGCAGGGUUAAGGCCCUCCGGGAGGAGCCCUGAACGCCGCCGCGCCCCCCCCCGGGCGGCAGGACCCGUGAUGCUCCUGGACUCCAUGGGUCUCCACUCUAAACGCUGAGGCUUCUCUGAAGUUGGAGAGAGAAACCUGUCCCGAGCGGGAGAAGGGGCCGAGCGGAAGGGAGGCGGCCAAGGCAGCUCACCGUUUGCCCUGCCGCCUCCCUGCGGGCAGCCGCCCCCCGCUGCCUGGUGCUCGUCGGAGCACCCUCUCCGCCUCGGUUUAUGCAGGCGCUGGAUACCUACCGGCUGGUUCCGGGACGUCCAAACUGCCUUAUUUGAAGUCAUGCCAGAGCUUUAUCUCCCCUGAAUGUUUGGGCUCGGAAUAAAACUCUGUUCGUUUGAA